UAUUUUGCCAGUGAGCCCAUGGAGAACAGCCUCCAUCAUUCGUUCAAAGAGGAUCCAUUUCGACCUGCCAGUAUCCGCUCUGAAGAUCUAUGGUGCUGAACCAAGUUGCACCAGCUAUCAGGUCGAGUGUCUCAUCGAUUCUGGGUAAAGGGACGAUUGGUGAGGCCCAGGGACUAGACGAUGGUUCAAUAACAUCGUUCUUUAGCAUG
rnacentral:lncRNA from 1 species